UAAAAGGUAUUUUUGCCUCUUAAAUGAUAAUUGUAUUAUUUAUUGUUUUUAUUAUUUAUUUGUUGUUAUACAGAUUAUUUAUUAUUUGGAUUUUUAAUUGAUUUAUUUCAGCCUGACAAAUUAUUUAAGAAAAAGGAAGUUAAAGUUGAUUUUUUUUUUUUUUUUUUUUUUACAGUUUCCGCCCAACUCAGGCAUGUCGUCACCGCGCAGGUGCGUGGACGUUCGAAUUCAAAUCCACUUCCGGUGCCGGACCAAACAAACGGAACCACCGUUGCUUUUGUAUUUUCGUCUGUUUUUAUCGCUACUAAAGCGAAACGAAUCGACUUUCUGCCGUCAAACUGCUUUAUUGUUGAGUGUUGAAGCGGCACGCGCGUGUUUGACGUCAUUUUAGCGACUUAAAGAGCGGAAUUUUGACGGAAAGUGAUCACAGUCUGUCGGCCAUUUUAACUUCUGCUGGACUCCAGGAUUUUACUUUGUUGACCGGAAGGAGCCGUAUGUCACCUGUCCACACCUGGGUACAGCCACAAGACGGACAGCCAAGGUAUCCUGCUAUGUCUGCUGCUGAUGUUCCAGGAUGUCGCAACCAACGCUGGGAUGUCAACAAAAGCACAUGGGGCUUUGACGAGUCCUCUGACAACUCUGGAUCACAACGUUUGGUGAGUAAAAUAUCAAUUUUUUUACUCCA